AUCAAUAAUAAGAAGACAUCUUAUUUUCUUCCCAAAAAUUAGGGUUUAGACUCCAUCGUUUUAGUUGGCUAUACUCAGGAAUUUCCAUGGAGGAGUUGAGGCAUUCCACGUGAAGACUGUUGACACCACUAGAGCUGGUGAUUCUUUUGUUGGUGCCCUUCUAACUAAGAUUGUCGAUGACCAAUCCAUUCUUGAGGAUGAAGCAAGAUUGAGGGAAGUACUAAGGUUUGCGUGUGCAUGUAGAGCCAUCACAACAACCAAGAAAGGAGCAAUCCCAGCUCUGUCUGCUGAAUCUGAAGCCCUCAGUUUGCUUAAGGAAGGAGCAUAGAACGAAGAAUAUGUUACCCUUUUAAUUCUUUUUUAAUCGUGAUGUAUUUCGCCCCUUCAUGAGUUUUUGUUUUCAAUCAAUUAAGGUAGUAGCAGCGUUUCAUUUUUCACUUUCGGGGUUUGAUUUUAAUGAUUUCUUGCAAUGAUGAAAGAUAAUGCA